rnacentral:rRNA from 1 species
CCCUUAGAUGUCCUGGGCCACACGCGCGUUACACUGAUGCAUUCAACGAGCUUAUAACCUUGGCCGAGAGGCCUGGGCAAUCUUGUUAACGUGCAUCGUGAUAGGGAUAGAUUAUUGAAAUUAUUAAUCUUGAACGAGGAAUUCCUAGUAAACGCAAGUCAUCAGCUUGCAUUGAUUACGUCCCUGCCCUUUGUACACACCGCCCGUCGCUCCUACCGAUUGAAUGAUCCGAUGAAUACCAUGGAUUGAGAGUACGAAUGGGUUCGCUCAUUUCUGCUGCUCGAGAAGUGGAGUAAAUCUUAUCAUUUAGAGGAAGGAGAAGUCGUAACA